rnacentral:rRNA from 1 species
CAGGCUUAACACAUGCAAGUCGAGGGGCAGCAUGGUCUUAGCUUGCUAAGGCCGAUGGCGACCGGCGCACGGGUGAGUAACACGUAUCCAACCUGCCGUCUACUCUUGGACAGCCUUCUGAAAGGAAGAUUAAUACAAGAUGGCAUCAUGAGUCCGCAUGUUCGCAUGAUUAAAGGUAUUCCGGUAGACGAUGGGGAUGCGUUCCAUUAGAUAGUAGGCGGGGUAACGGCCCACCUAGUCUUCGAUGGAUAGGGGUUCUGAGAGGAAGGUCCCCCACAUUGGAACUGAGACACGGUCCAAACUCCUACGGGAGGCAGCAGUGAGGAAUAUUGGUCAAUGGGCGAGAGCCUGAACCAGCCAAGUAGCGUGAAGGAUGACUGCCCUAUGGGUUGUAAACUUCUUUUAUAAAGGAAUAAAGUCGGGUAUGGAUACCCGUUUGCAUGUACUUUAUGAAUAAGGAUCGGCUAACUCCGUGCCAGCAGCCGCGGUAAUACGGAGGAUCCGAGCGUUAUCCGGAUUUAUUGGGUUUAAAGGGAGCGUAGAUGGAUGUUUAAGUCAGUUGUGAAAGUUUGCGGCUCAACCGUAAAAUUGCAGUUGAUACUGGAUAUCUUGAGUGCAGUUGAGGCAGGCGGAAUUCGUGGUGUAGCGGUGAAAUGCUUAGAUAUCACGAAGAACUCCGAUUGCGAAGGCAGCCUGCUAAGCUGCAACUGACAUUGAGGCUCGAAAGUGUGGGUAUCAAACAGGAUUAGAUACCCUGGUAGUCCACACGGUAAACGAUGAAUACUCGCUGUUUGCGAUAUACUGCAAGCGGCCAAGCGAAAGCGUUAAGUAUUCCACCUGGGGAGUACGCCGGCAACGGUGAAACUCAAAGGAAUUGACGGGGGCCCGCACAAGCGGAGGAACAUGUGGUUUAAUUCGAUGAUACGCGAGGAACCUUACCCGGGCUUAAAUUGCAGAUGAAUUACGGUGAAAGCCGUAAGCCGCAAGGCAUCUGUGAAGGUGCUGCAUGGUUGUCGUCAGCUCGUGCCGUGAGGUGUCGGCUUAAGUGCCAUAACGAGCGCAACCCUUGUUGUCAGUUACUAACAGGUUCCGCUGAGGACUCUGACAAGACUGCCAUCGUAAGAUGUGAGGAAGGUGGGGAUGACGUCAAAUCAGCACGGCCCUUACGUCCGGGGCUACACACGUGUUACAAUGGGGGGUACAGAGGGCCGCUACCACGCGAGUGGAUGCCAAUCCCCAAAACCUCUCUCAGUUCGGACUGGAGUCUGCAACCCGACUCCACGAAGCUGGAUUCGCUAGUAAUCGCGCAUCAGCCACGGCGCGGUGAAUACGUUCCCGGGCCUUGUACACACCGCCCGUCAAGCCAUGGGAGCCGGGGGUACCUGAAGUGCGUAACCGCGAGGAGCGCCCUAGGGUAAAACUGGUGACUGGGGCUAA